rnacentral:rRNA from 1 species
AUCGAACGCUGGCGGCAUGCUUUACACAUGCAAGUCGAACGGCAGCGCGGGCUUCGGCUUGGCGGCGAGUGGCGAACGGGUGAGUAAUACAUCGGAACGUGCUCAGCAGUGGGGGAUAGCUCGGUGAAAGCAGGAUUAAUACCGCAUACGACCUGAGGGUGAAAGCGGGGGAUCUUCGGACCUCGCGCUAUAGGAGCGGGCGAUGGCAGAUUAGCUAGUUGGUGGGGUAAAGGCCUACCAAGGCGACGAUCUGUAGCUGGUCUGAGAGGACGACCAGCCACACUGGGAGGGCUGCGCGGCCCAGACGCCUACGAGAGGCAGCAGCGGGGAAUUUUGGACAAUGGUGGAAAGCCUGAUCCAGCAAUGCCGCGUGUGUGGUGAUGGCCUUCGGGGUGUAAAGCACUUUUUGCGGGAGCGAAAAGGACUGGGCCAAUACCACGGUUCGAUGACGGUACCCGCAUAAUAAGCACCGGCUAACUACGUG